CAGACAGCCCUUAAUGUGAAUUGAAAAGGAUAACGGUGGACUGAAGGUAGAAGACGGAAGACCUGCGAGCCAAGGACGCCGUAACCGGAGGGGAGAUAUAGGGAUAGGUCACUUUCGGCAUGGGCGUCUCUGCUGAUGGCGGGG